CUACGGGCGGCAGCAGUUAGGAAUAAUCUACAAUGCGCGCAAGCGUGAUAGUUUGAGCCAGAGUGCUUUACAAUAGUAAAGCUUUUGCUAAAUGUAAAAAGUUUGGCGAAUAAGGACUGGGUAAGACGAGUGCCAGCCGCCGCGGUGAAUACUCGCGGUCCAAGUCGCAGCCAUUUUUAUUGGGUCUAAAACAUCCGUAGCUUGCUUAAUAAGUCCCUUGUGAAAUUUUAUAUCUCAAGUAUGAAGCGCGCAAGGGGUACUGUUAAGCUAGAGACUGGAAGACGUAAUCAGUACGUUCAGAGUAGCGGUAAAAUGUGUUAAUCCUGGACGGACUCACGAGAGCGAAGGCAGAUUACGAGGACAGUUCUGACAGUAAGGGAUGAAGGCUAGGGGCGCAAAACGGAUUAGAUACCCUAGUAGUC
rnacentral:rRNA from 1 species